rnacentral:rRNA from 1 species
CCUACGGGUGGCAGCAGUGAGGAAUAUUGGUCAAUGGACGCAAGUCUGAACCAGCCAUGCCGCGUGCAGGAAGACGGCUCUAUGAGUUGUAAACUGCUUUUGUACGAGGGUAAACGCAGAUACGCGUAUCUUUCUGAACGUAUCGUACGAAUAAGGAUCGGCUAACUCCGUGCCAGCAGCCACGGUAAUACGGAGGAUUCAAGCGUUAUCCGGAUUUAUUGGGUUUAAAGGGUGCGUAGGCGGUCGGAUAAGUUAGAGGUGAAAUCCCGAGGCUCAACUUCGGAAUUGCCUCUGAUACUGUUCGGCUAGGGAGUAGUUGCGGUAGGCGGAAUGUAUGGUGUAGCGGUGAAAUGCUUAGAGAUCAUACAGAACACCGAUUGCGAAGGCAGCUUACCAAGCUACGUCUGACGUUGAGGCACGAAAGCGUGGGGAGCAAACAGGAUUAGAUACCCUAGUAGUC